AGGAUAUUAGUUAAAUAAUAACAUUAAAAUUGCAUUUUAAAAUUAAUAUAAUUAUAUCUUU
rnacentral:tRNA from 1 species